rnacentral:misc_RNA from 1 species
GCAAACUUGGUCAUUUAGAGGAAGUAAAAGUCGUAACAAGGUUUCCGUAGGUGAACCUGCGGAAGGAUCAUUAACAAAUCUUGUUUGAUCUAAGUACAAUAAUUUUGUACUUUAGAUCACAUUGACUCGGGCUCGAUUACUUUUUUUUUUUUGCACACUUUAUUUGUGUGUGAGUUGGAAAAAGUUAAUCGAGUCUUGAGACAUUCACCGCUUGUUGUGUAUGGACUGUUAUAUAUUUGUGCCUAAAUAAAGACAACUUUUAACAAUGGAUCUCUUGGCUCUUGCAUCGAUGAAGAACGCAGC